rnacentral:rRNA from 1 species
UACGAGGGGGGCAAGCGUUGUUCGGAAUUAUUGGGCGUAAAGGGUGCGUAGGCGGUUUGGUAAGUCUGAUGUGAAAUCUAUGGGCUCAACUCAUAGUCUGCAUCGGAAACUGCCGGGCUUGAGUGUGGGAGAGGUGAGUGGAAUUCCUGGUGUAGCGGUGAAAUGCGUAGAUAUCAGGAGGAACACCUGUGGCGAAAGCGGCUCACUGGACCAUAACUGACGCUGAUGCACGAAAGCUAGGGGAGCGAACGGG